rnacentral:misc_RNA from 1 species
AAGUCGUAACAAGGUUUCCGUAGGUGAACCUGCGGAAGGAUCAUUAUUGAAUUUUGAAGUGGGACGCUUGAGCUGGCAUUGCAGGUGCUCGGCGUCUCCAUUCAUUCCAAUUCAAACACCUGUGCACCUCGAGAACGUGAGUUGGGUUAUUGGAUCUGUGGUUCAUUUAUUCCCUUAUUUGGGUUGAACUUAGUGAAGGUGCCCCGCUUUCGUUUCUUAUUACAAACUCGUUAUAUUGUUUUGUAGAAUGUAUCGCCUUUAAAUAGGCAAAGUCUAAAUACAACUUUCAACAACGGAUCUCUUGGCUCUC